CAAUAGCGUAUAUUAAAGUUGUUGCAGUUAAAAAGCUCGUAGUUGGAUUUCUGGUAGGGGCGACCGUGCCGAACUUGAUUGUUCGAGUAUUGUGUUGUCUUCAGCCAUCCUCGUGGAGAACUUUUCUAACAUUAACUUGUUGGGAUUGGGACCCGCGUCGUUUACUGUGAAAAAAUUAGAGUGUUUAAAGCAGGCAUUAGCUUGAAUACAUUAGCAUGGAAUAAUAAGAUAGGACUUUGGUACUAUUUUGUUGGUUUGCAUACCAAAUUAAUGAUCAACAGGAACAGUUUGAGGAUAUUCGUAUGAACAUGUCAGAGGUGAAAUUCUUGGAUUUUGAUCAGACGAACUACUGCGAAAGCAUUUAUCAAGGAUGUUUUCAUUAA
rnacentral:rRNA from 1 species